UCAGGGCACCUCGGAUGAGCCCCCAGGGAUCCGCAGGGGUGUGCAGACCCAUCCCGCCAGACAGCUGCUGGAGGGUUUCAGGUUUCCGUAGGCUCAGACUCUCCCUAACUGGGCCGAACCGGAGGCCUGUACCUCAGCCAGUCCUGGUCCUGUGUUCUGGGUGUGGGGGCUCCAUGGGGGAGGGGAGGAGGUAAGGGAGCUGUGGGCAGGACUUUGCAGAGAGCCUAGCCUGAUCUGCCCUUGGCUUUCUACAGUCACCACAGUGGGCCCUUUGUGGGGUCCAGCCGCCUCAUGGUCCACGUUGUGUUGGGCUAGGCCUUCUGGAAGGGAGGGGGGGGGUCUGCAUCCAGACUUUCCCUUGAGGUAUGGAGCCCCAGGGGAUGCCCUGGCCUGAGGCAGCCACACUGUGGUGUAUAGCCAGAAAAAUAGCUGGGCUUUAGUGGGGAGGAGCUGGAUCAGAAUCCUGGCUCUGCCUCCUCCACUGAACAGCUUGGUAUAUUCUAGAAGUUAGGGGCGAAGGCUUUGGGUUCAGACCUCCCCUUAGCUGCACGGCUUGAUGACUUGGGCAAGUGUCUGAGCCCUCUCAGUAUCUCUGUGUCACCACCUGCAAACUGGGGCUAAAAAUAAAGUCCCACCUGCGAGGGCUGAAUGCAUGAGAAGAGCUUAAUUCAGAGCCUGGAGGGGUACAGAGCUCAGAAGUGGGAGUGCCUGUGGGACCUCGUGCACCUUACCUCCUGUGUGCUUUCCUGUCUGUGAAAUGGGGAUGAGAACAGUACCCGUUGUCGAGAAGAUUAACUGAGCCAGUGUGUGUAAAGCAUUUAGAUACAGAGGAUGCACCCAAUAAAUGUUGGCCACUCUUUU